GAUGAAUGCUGGCGGCGUGCUUAACACAUGCAAGUCGAGCGGCAGAGCGAGUAGUUUACUACUUGGCGGCGAGCGGCGGACGGCUGAGUAACGCGUGGGAACAUGCCCUAAAGUGAGGAAUAACUGCCCGAAAGGGUGGCUAAUGCCGCAUAUGAUCUUCGGAUUAAAGGAUUUAUCCGCUUUAGGAGUGGCCUGCGUAUGAUUAGGUAGUUGGUGAGGUAAUGGCUCACCAAGCCGACGAUCAUUAGCUGGUCUGAGAGGAUGACCAGCCAGACUGGAACUGAGACACGGUCCAGACUCCUACGGGAGGCAGCAGUGAGGAAUAUUCCACAAUGGGCGAAAGCCUGAUGGAGCAACGCCGCGUGAAGGACGACGGCCUUCGGGUUGUAAACUGCUUUUGUACGGAACGAAAAGCCCUGGGUUAAUACCCUGGGGUCAUGACGGUACCGUAAGAAUAAGCACCGGCUAA
rnacentral:rRNA from 1 species